rnacentral:rRNA from 1 species
GAUGAACGCUGGCGGCGUGCCUAAUACAUGCAAGUCGAGCGAACGGACGAGAAGCUUGCUUCUCUGAUGUUAGCGGCGGACGUGUGAGUAACACGUGGAUAACCUACCUAUAAGACUGGGAUAACUUCGGGAAACCGGAGCUAAUACCGGAUAAUAUUUUGAACCGCAUGGUUCAAAAGUGAAAGACGGUCUUGCUGUCACUUAUAGAUGGAUCCGCGCUGCAUUAGCUAGUUGGUAAGGUAACGGCUUACCAAGGCAACGAUGCAUAGCCGACCUGAGAGGGUGAUCGGACACACUGGAACUGAGACACGGUCCAGACGACUACGGGAGGCAGCAGUAGGGAAUCUUCCGCAAUGGGCGAAAGCAUGACGGAGCAACGCCGCGUGAGUGAUGAAGGUCUUCGGAUCGUAAAACUCUGUUAUUAGGGAAGAACAUAUGUGUAAGUAACUGUGCACAUCUUGACGGUACCUAAUCAGAAAGCCACGGCUAACUACGUG